rnacentral:rRNA from 1 species
GACGAACGCUGGCGGCGUGCUUAACACAUGCAAGUCGAACGGACAGGCCCUGCUUUUGUGGGUUGCUCGAGUGCCGAACAGGUGAGUAACACGUGAGUAUCCUCUCCUUGUCUUUGUGAUAUCUUCAGGGAACUGGGGCUCAUAUCCGGUAGGAGCUCUUGCUCCUUGUUGUUGGUUGGUGAGUUUCGGCGGUUGUGGCACGACUGGCGGCUUAUCAGCUUGUUGGUUGGGUAGUGGCUUACCCAGGGUUUGACGGGUAGCCGGCCUGAGAGGGUGACCAGGCACAUGGGGACUGAGAGACGGCGCAGACGCCUACGGGACGCAGCAGUGGAGAAUAUUGCACAACAGGCGGAAGCCUGAGGCAGAAACGCCGCGUGCGGGAUGACGGCCUUCGGGUUGUAAACAGCUUUCGACGGAGACGAAGAGGGAGUGACGGUAAUGGGUAAAGAAGCACCGGCUAACUACGUG